rnacentral:rRNA from 1 species
UACGUAGGGGGGCAAGCGUUGUCCGGAUUUAUUGGGCGUAAAGAGCGUGUAGGCGGCUAUACAGGUCCGUUGUGAAAACUCGAGGCUCAACCUCGAGACGCCGAUGGAAACCGUAUGGCUAGAGUCCGGAAGAGGAGAGCGGAAUUCCUGGUGUAGCGGUGAAAUGCGCAGAUAUCAGGAGGAACACCGAUGGCGAAGGCGACUACCUGGCCUGUUUCUUGACGCUGAGGCGCGAAAGCUAGGGGAGCAAACGGG